AGAAUUGGAAGGAGAUUCCUUUUAAAUUAGAACUUUAAAAUGCCUUGCUUCAGCGAUAGUAGGAGUAGCUUUAAAGGAAAGAAAACUUUGCUUUGAUAAGUGGCUUCUGAUGAGAACAGAGUUGAAAGGGUCAUCAAAAAUAUUACCAUUUACCAGAGAGCUAUUUCAGAGAUUACGAAUGUUUUCAAGAUUUACCCAAGUUUACCACUCACUCAUAGCUGGACAAAUGAGAGAUGACGUUGGCACACACCGAGGUGGUGCCUCUGUACACUGAGAGAAGCAGAACUGGCAAGACUUCUGAUGGACUGCAUAUCAGGAAGGGGAAAACGAGCAUUUCUGGCCUUUAGUAACUGAAACAACCCAGUGGGUAUGGUAAGUGGGCAGCUGGAUAUGUGAGUCUGGAGAUCAAAGGGUAAGAGGCACAAAUUUGUGAGUCAUUAAUAUAAAGAUGGCAGAUCCAGAAGCAGAA